rnacentral:rRNA from 1 species
GACGAAGGGGGCUAGCGUUGUUCGGAAUUACUGGGCGUAAAGCGCGUGUAGGCGGUUGUUCAAGUCGGGUGUGAAAGCCUUGAGCUCAACUCAAGAAAUGCACUCGGUACUGGAUGACUAGAGGACCGGAGAGGAUAGUGGAAUUCCCAGUGUAGUGGUGAAAGUACGUAGAGAUUGGGAAGAACACCAGUGGCGAAGGCGGCUAUCUGGACGGUUUCUGACGCUAAGACGCGAAAGCGUGGGGAGCAAACAGG